ACUCCUACGGGAGGCAGCAUUCGGGAAUUUUGGGCAAUGGGCGAGCCUGACCCAGCAACGCUGCGUGAAGGAUGAAGUAUUUCGGUAUGUAAACUUCGAAAGAAUAGGAAGAAUUAAUGACGGUACUAUUUAUAAGGUCCGGCUAACUACGUGCCAGCAGCCGCGGUAAU
rnacentral:rRNA from 1 species